CCGCCUCCCGGGUUCAUGCCAUUCUCCUGCCUCAGGUUCCCGAUUAGCUGGGACUACAGGCGCCCGCCACCAUGUCCAGCUAAUUUUUAUAUAUAUAUAUAUAUAUAUAUAUAUAUAUAUAUAUAUAUAUAUAUUUUUUUUUUUUUUUUUUUUUUUUUUUUUGUAAAGACGGGGGUCUCACUGUUUUAGCCAGGAUGGGCUCUAUCUCUGGACAUCGUGAUCCACCCGCCUCCGCCUCCCAAAGUGCUGGGAUUACAGGCCUGAGCCACGGUGCCCGGCGGCUUUGUGUUUCAUAAUCUUUUUUUCUGCAGUGUCUAAUCUGCUGUUAAUUGCAUCCAGUGAAUUUAUUAUCUCAGAUGUUGUAGUUUUUAAUCUCCAAAGUUUGAUUCUGACCAUUUUUAUAUGUUUGAUACCUCUGCUUAAUUCUUUGGACCCAUAGAAUAUUGACAUAAUAACGGUUUUAAAGUCCUCUGUUUUCUUUUCUUUCUUUCUUUUUUUUUUUUUUAAGACGUAGUCUCACUCUUGCUGCCUAGGCUGGAGUGCAAUGGCACAAUCUCAGCUCACCGCAACAUCUACCUCUUGGAAUUAAGCAAUUCUCCUGCCUCAGCCUCCCGAGGAGCUGGGAUUACAGGCAUGCACCACCACGCCUGGCUAAUUUUUGUAUUUUUACUGGAGACGGGGUUUCAUCAUGUUGAUGAUGAAAGGUCCCAAACCUGAGACCUUUCACAUGUGAAGGGAACAUGUAAUCACUACACUACAGAAACCCCUCACAGUUCCUGGCACAAGACAUAUUCCUGAAAUGUUACCAUCUGCUGUUUUUAACUACUAGGGUUUCCAAUAUAACAAAUUCGACUGCUUUUCAAAAUUUGAGUGAUAAAUACGCCAGGAAACACAAUCCCUCAGGCAGACAGGCUGAACCCUCAUUUACGGUUCCGCGCCUAGCCCCGAAGCCAAGACCCUAGGGACCCCCAAUCUGGCUUCGGGAUCCCGCAUCUCAUGCAGGGUUUCCAGGAACUGAGUGCCCGUGUGUGGGAUUCUCCCUGCUGACUCUCUGGCUCCCAGAAGCUUCAGGAGCUGGUGGAGCCAUGAGUGUCCCGUGCCACACAGGAGUGUGAACGCCGCCCCUGCAGGGCUGCUGACUGCCCCUCGGGGGCCCUUUCCCCGGCGCUGGCCAUUAGGGCUCUUGGCUCUUGACAGGCGAUCAUGCUUCGGGUCCUCCCAGGAACCAUAGGACCCUCCCUGCCUGCUCUUCCACCAGGCUGAAGGGCCUGACCCGCACGCUCUUUCCUUGCUAGCCCUUUGGCCUCAGCACCUCGAAUCUUCCAGAGGGCAUCCUUCACUGCCACUCUCGCUGAGUCUAUUCGAUUCAAUGUAAGCUAUAUUUAUCCACACGUUGAAGUUUUAGCAGGUACUAUAGCAAAGGCUGUGUCUCAAGGCAUUUCACUCUUUGAAAAUAUAGAGCAUCCAACCCAGGCCAAACUGUGCUUCUUGGCCUGCACUGAAUUCGUUUGAAGACCAGGGCGUGAAGUUCAUAAAACACAAGGGUUUCAGAGCCAUCACCACUGAAGGACACAAGAGCAGCCUAUUCAGAUUUCAUGAUCACAGGAUCUCCACCUCCAUCUUGAGAUUUUUUUUAAAGGCAGUUUUAUUGCAUUCUUUCAUAAUACUUGAAACUUUUUAUUUGCAUUUUUGAUGUUCCUACUCAACAGAUCUUGAAGUGAAUUAUAACAAAGAGGUAAGGGCAGUUUUCAGAGAAAGGCAGUGUCUGUGAACUUUUCAAGUUUGUCUCACAGCAAAAGAUCAACAGGCAGAAUUUCCUUUUGCUGAAAGAUGUUAAUGUGGUUUCUAAGGUGUUCCUUAGACAUGAGUGUAAAAACAAAUUUGGGGAAGAAAGUGCCAUUUUCUCCAGCAGUUGCUCUUCUUACUGCAGUGGUUACCAUGUUUCCUUCACAUCCAAAGUUCAAAUGCUCCCACCCUGGGGAAAGUGACAAAAUGUUCGUUGGAUGCCAGGCUGCAGUGUCCAGCUUUGUUCUGCUUUGGCUCAGACUGGAGACUGGGACUGGACUGGACUAUGUCUCCCUCACUAGAGACUGGGAGCCCAGUUCCAGAUGAGGCAGGCAUCAUGGUAACUUUUGAUUAGGCAAUUUUGUGACAUCUUUUUCUGCUUUCUUCCCUCUGAAAUCUCUCUCUCUCCCUCCCCACUGACCCAGAGGAGAGGAUUCACUGUCUUUCUAACUCAGAACAUUCUGGGGUCCUUCCUGGACAGAAAAAAAAAGGCAAUUGCCCUUUAACCUACAGGAGCAGAAAGGGCUGCAGGUAACUGGAGACCCACAAACUCACUUCGUGGGCCACUGCACAUCUGUGCCUUGUGGGAUCCUAGCAUACCCAAAACUGUGCGGCUUGAAGCUUCUCUGCCCGCUGAACAGGAAGUAUGGGGUUCCUGACUCUUCAAGAAGAGCCACACAGAGAGGUCUUAAGCAUGCCUCUGGACCUUGAACACAGGCCAGAAAGAGGCUUGAAGGUGAGGGCAGAGUCAAGAAAGGGUGGAAAGACAGGCCAACCCACUCUCCCAAGGGUACCUUCUUCAGGACAGUGAUUUACUCUAAUUUAGUGAUCAGGAAAGGAGAGGAUUGUGUAGAGCAAUGUCCGUACUUGAAAACAUGAAUUCCUACCUAGAUGUGGAGUCCGAGUAAAAUAUCGGCAUCAAAAAGAACUCUGGUUGGCUGGGCAAGGUGUCUCAUGCCUGUAGUCCCAGCACUUUGGGAAGCCUAGGCAGGCUGAUCCCUUGAGCUCAGGAGUUUGAGACCAUUCUGGGCAAAAUGGCAAAACCCUGCCUCUGUGGUGGCACACCUUUGGUCCCAACUACACCAGAGGCUGACGUGGGAGAAUCACUUGAGCCCGGAUGUUCGAGGCUGCAGUGAGCCGUGAUCAUGCUACUGCACUCCAGCCUGAGUGACAGAGCAAUACCCUAUCUUCAAACAAUCAACAACCUGUGAUUUUUUUUUCUCUGCGUAUUGCAAGGAUGAGAACAAAGAGCUCCAACUAAGAUGGAAACGGUACAGAUGCGAAAGGAUUUAGGGGGAAACCUCUGGUGUUCUGUCAGGGACCACUGGCCUUUCUUGAAAGAAAUUUCAUCCAGGCUGUCUGGUUUCCUGCAUGUGUCUCAGGCCUGCUGUUGGUGGUCCCAGGGGCUGAGUGCUUAGCCCCUUCUCAGCUUGGGUGCCUCCCCUUUUGCCUUCUCCCAGCAACCUGGUCCACUGCCAUGGUUCCUGUGGCCAUCUCUCCAGAGCCAUGCUGUCACCUCGAAAAGGGGCAUCUCUAGAUCAGUUUUUUUUCACUAAAUUGGAAUAUGAAUAUAUUUAUUAGCAUGCUCACAAAAUAAAUGACACAUUAAUUAGCACUCUCCUCAUAUGAUAAAGAAUACAUAUGACCCACACUGUGGCAGGAAACAGGGGUAAGGGCUAUCAGAGCUGGGACUAAGUGUCCACUGAAGAAAUCUUGAUUCACCGGAGAGAAGUUGUUUCCUUGGAUUCCAUCAUCUCUGCUCUAGCUACCAGCCAGGUCUCCACAACCUUCCCAGAAUCCUUCAUUCCAGCACCAGUUCAUGUUCUUUGCCCUGGCCACUCCUGACUCUUUCAAGACCUGAGUGCACUUUCCCAUGUCUCACUCACCCACCUCUGAAAUCUUGCAGCACAUCUCUUUGGUAUGCUGCUGCCUGGCCACCAUUGGGGGCACAAUUGUCAGGUGGAGGAAGAACAUACAUACCGAAAGCAAAGAGCAGGGAUACAUUAGUAAAUGGCGCUUGGACAUAAACUAAACAACCUCACAGAAUACAUGCUUCCUCCCAAAAUGAUACAUAAUCCCCUAGAAGCAAAGGAAACCCUUCGGUCAACAUGUAUGAAUGAUUCUGUAUGCCAGGCACAGGGGAUAUAUAGUGGGUGGUGUUUACUUCCAUUGUGCCCUGCACACAGCAGAAAGUUAGUGACUGGAAGACUGGAAGCUAGAACCAGGUCUGUAUCCCCGCUCCCAUCAGGUUCUCCUGGCCCUUCCUGCCUUUGAUGGUGCCACCACUCUACUUCCUCUGUUCUGAACAUUUGUUCAUUUUUCAAUAGAGAGUUGAAGAGGAUGCAGGAUGGCAGAGAAAGGGUGGGCAUGGAGAAGGGGGAAAACAACCCUGUAAAACAGAACAAAAACUAUACAAAACCCCAGAAACCAGAUUUAGUACUAUAAUAUUUUAUAGCAAUAGAAAGUAGCUGAGAAUAACCUCAGGGGGAGGAGUCAGCAGAGAUUGUGCAGCAGAGGCCACGGGUUUAGACGCCACAGGUUUAGACUAGGAGCCUUUCAACGGACUGCUGAAUGGACUGGAUCAGCUGUGAGCCUUCUUUGAUGGUGACAGAACAGGUGAUGACAGGACU
rnacentral:lncRNA from 1 species